GACGAACGCUGGCGGCGUGCCUAAUACAUGCAAGUAGAACGCUGAAGAGAGGAGCUUGCUCUUCUUGGAUGAGUUGCGAACGGGUGAGUAACGCGUAGGUAACCUGCCUGGUAGCGGGGGAUAACUAUUGGAAACGAUAGCUAAUACCGCAUAAAAUGGAUUAUCGCAUGAUAAUCCAUUGAAAGGUGCAAAUGCAUCACUACCAGAUGGACCUGCGUUGUAUUAGCUAGUUGGUGGGGUAACGGCUCACCAAGGCGACGAUACAUAGCCGACCUGAGAGGGUGAUCGGCCACACUGGGACUGAGACACGGCCCAGACUCCUACGGGAGGCAGCAGUAGGGAAUCUUCGGCAAUGGACGGAAGUCUGACCGAGCAACGCCGCGUGAGUGAAGAAGGUUUUCGGAUCGUAAAGCUCUGUUGUAAGAGAAGAACGAGUGUGAGAGUGGAAAGUUCACACUGUGACGUAUCUACCAGAAAGGACGCA
rnacentral:rRNA from 1 species